AUUUUUCCAGUACUGAAUUUGGUUGUGUGCUGGAACGUUUCAAGUGUCUCUAGCACCAUAUAAAUUCAGAAUUGGCAAAU
rnacentral:pre_miRNA from 1 species